CAGCCGUAAACUAUGCGCGUUAGGUGUGCUGGUGACCACGUGUCACCGGGGUGCCGAAGGGAAACCGUGAAACGUGCCGCCUGGGAAGUACGGUCGCAAGGCUGAAACUUAAAGGAAUUGGCGGGGGAGCACCACGAACGGGUGGAGCCUGCGGUUUAAUUGGACUCAACGCCGGAAUCUCACCAGAGGCGACAGCUGUAUGAUAGCCAGGUUGAUGACUUUGCUUGACUAGCUGAGAGGAGGUGCAUGGCGUCAGUGACU
rnacentral:rRNA from 1 species